AUUGAACGCUGGCGGCAGGCCUAACACAUGCAAGUCGAACGAGUGGAGGAAGGGUGAGUAAUGUCUGGGAAACUGCCCGAUGGAGGGGGAUAACUACUGGAAACAGUAGCUAAUACCGCAUACCAUCGGAGGUGCCCAGAUGGGAUUAGCUGGGAGGGGGGGUAACGGCUCACCUAGGCGACGAUCCCUAGCUGGUCUGAGAGGAUGACCGGCCACCCUGUACCUGAUACACGGUCCAGCCUCCUACGGGAGGCAUCAGUGGGGAAUAUUGCACAAUGGGCGCAAGCCUGAUGCAGCCAUGCCGCGUGUAUGAAGAAGGCCUUCGGGUUUUAAAGUACUUUCAGCGAGGAGGCGUUACUCGCAGAAGAAGCACCGGCUAACUCCGUGCCAGCCGCCGCGGUAAUAC
rnacentral:rRNA from 1 species